UACGGGGGGAGCAAGCGUUGUUCGGAUUUACUGGGCGUAAAGGGCGCGUAGGCGGUCAGUGCAAGUCAGUUGUGAAAUCUCCGGGCUUAACUCGGAAAGGUCAACUGAUACUGCUCGACUAGAGUGCGGAAGGGGCAACUGGAAUUCUUGGUGUAGCGGUGAAAUGCGUAGAUAUCAAGAGGAACACCUGCGGCGAAGGCGGGUUGCUGGGCCGACACUGACGCUGAAGCGCGAAAGCUAGGGGAGCGAACGGG
rnacentral:rRNA from 1 species